CAAGCAUGCAAUGUCAUACAUGUAUCUGAAAUCAAUACUUAUAAAAAUUAAUUAAAAUUAAAAUCUUCAAAUAUACAAUCUUGUUACACAUCUCCUAUAUUUUUCACUUACGAUAACUCUGAAUUUUUAAUAAGUGCGUCCUUUUGUCCACAAACUUUUAAUAACCCCUCAUAAACAAUUUACAAAUAUGAUAUCAGAAAUAAUAAUCUAAAAAAUUAUCCUGUUGUUCAUAGAUGCAUGCCAUCAACAUUAAGAGUAUAACAAAUAACAAAAGCUCUCCUGACAUUGUGCCAUUCUGAAAGAAAUGAGGUGCUUAUACCCCCAAAGGCAGGGGGGUAACCCAGAAUUGUGUCUAGAGAGCGGAAUAAUAUAUUUAUGGAAUUAACCAAAAAAUUAGUAAUAAUUUUUUUUUAGCUAUGAAUUCAUGUUAAAUAAAGUGCACCGCCAUGGCACAUGAUACGCCCGUCACAUAUUGUUAACAGUAUAGAUAGUACCCAUUAAAACAUUUUUUUUUUAAUAUCACCUUAAUUAAAUGUCACAGUGACCUUAAAGUAGGAUGCGAAACACCUUCUACCUAAGAUGCAUUAGUUGACCAAUUUUGGUGAUUCUAGGUCUAAUAGUUUUCAAGUUAUGAGCCGGACAAGUUUUUGCCAUAUAUGGCCAUAUCUUCUUAAUGAAAAGUCACAGUGACCUGGUUUUAAUGUGCGACACACCUUCUACCCAAGAUGUAUCUACAGACAAAGUUUGAUGAUUCUAGGCCUUGUAGUAUUUAAGUUACGAGUCGGACACGAAAAAGCUAACAGACGGACGGACAGACACGCCAUACCAUAAUACGUCCCGUCUUAAGACGGGCGUAUAAAAAUUGGUCAUGCAGGGCUCGCGCUGCCCAUCGCAUUUGUCGCAUUUUGCGAUUUUUCAGAAAAAAAUGCGACAGAAAUUCCGGAAAUGCGACACGGACAUUUCGUAUUUUAGUAUUCGCGCGCCAUUUUGAAUUUCAGCUGUUGGCAUCCAAACAGCCUCAGGGCUGUUUUACCUGUGCAGAAUGUGGAUACCCUGUCGCAUGGGAACAAUAAGACUUAGGGGCGUCUUGUUUAUUUAGCAGUUUACACAAAACAAAGGGUUGAUCCUCUAUGUGCAGACUUCAUAAAGUCCCUUCUCCUCUACAUGAUGAGAUUCACGAAAGGACCACUUUGUCAUUCUGGAUUUCAAGAUGAAAACAAGAUUCUUCAGUGAAAAUGUGAUGUGAAACUAUGAUCAUGUGUUAUAUAUUACAGUAAUUAAUUUUCAGUAACUUUGUCAUCAGUGACUUUUUUUAGACUGCAAAUUUAAUGAGUAAUAUAUGUCAUUUACACUACUAAAAUGAUUAAUAAACAUUUAGAAACUCAUUUCUUGUCUUUAUUUAAUAUAGCCAGUUUAUAUGCUAUGAAAUACUCCUAUUUUUUUCUGGUAUGAAAUAGAAUUGAGUCAACUUAGCCAAAAACAAUAUUUAGAAAUAAAACUAUGAUUGUGCUGCAAUGUCAUCAGACUGACUAAAAAGCAAUCUGCUGAAAUACAAUCGAUUUUCACAAUAUCCUAAUAAUUAUAGUGAUUUGUGAUCAAAGCUAAACAAAGCUAUGUUGUAUACAUUGUGUAAGAAUAAUCAGAGAUAUGAUAUGUUGUAUAUGCCUCUUGAAUAAUAUACAUGAAAUAUAGAUCUACAGUAAACGUGUAUGAGUCGAUGCACGCGCGUUAGGUUGCGACACAAAAUUUUGGUCCAGUGUGAGCCCUGGUCAUGGUAGCUCAGUGGUAACACAGUCUUCGACAUUAACCAGUGGCCUGAUGCCCGAGGCCAGUAAAAUCGGGAUCGGGCUUCUUAAAAUAUUAAACCCUGGAGUCAGAUGGGCCUGUAAAUGUUUUCUUAUAUGUUCUGUAUAUAUUACAAAUAAAGCGUGAGAUUGACUCAGACUAAAUGUCAUGACUUAGUAGUCAAAUUUCGCAUAGAAAAAUUAUCAACCAUGCUGCCUUUUCUGAAGUAUAGGGAGGGGGCUCGUCCGGGAAAUUCAAAACCACCCAAGCGUAUUUCACAAUCACAACCAUCCGAUAAAAAAACCAAAAAAAAAACUGUCGUACGAGGAGAAAAAAACGAAAAUUCAUGCCCCAUUGGACCGAGGGCAGUGUUCAAAAUUAACCAUAGACCGAGUAUAUGUCAAAUGGCACUGGUCUAUGCCAACUGUAAUUGAGAUAGACCAAAUUGUCUAUGCCAAUUUUCUAGAUUUAAAGCAAUAAAGUUAUCCAAGAGGGCCUUGCAUGGUCAGUCGACGUCUGAUAAACAUUAUGAGGAAAGGAUGAUAUUACAGAAAUGGAAAGAAAAUACACUUUCUAAGUAUAUUAGAAGUAAAUGAAAAUAUUUUAAAUUUGUGUUAUUAUUUUUUCAAUGUUGUGGUCUAUGCCAAUUCGAUGAGGUCCAAGUCAUCUUAUUUUGGCAUAGACCUGUGGUCUAUACCAAGUUUUAAACCAAUUUCGAACACUGCGAGGGUAGGCCUUGGCUAACAUUUAAAAAAUGUUUUGUACGUGGUGUAUACAAAACAGAGUUGAACAUGAGCUGCUGAUGUAUCUGCGAGAUUAAUCAGUCUAUGCGAAAGACAUCGGACCGUCGGACCUGACCGAUGUGCAGUGCCUCAGGUCCGAUGCAUCAUUUUUUACACCGGAUCGGAAUGUCAGAUGUCUCAAUGUCCGGUUUUGAGCUUUACUAUCUUGAUGCGGAGUUUGUUAUAAGUAAAAAAAAUAGCACACAUCCAAAUACGUAAAUGAAUUGAUUAAAACCGCAUGGACUGUCUAAAGUAUUAUACGGGAAGGAUUCCUGGAAUAGUAUUACUAGUAUAAUAAAUAAGAUUCCCUUGGUUUUGCAUUUUCACGUGUUUCACUUUUUUACAUUAGGUUUUUCGGUCUGACAAAAUUUGGUUCGGUCCGGUGUGUUCAUUGAUUACACUGGACCGAAUGUCCUGUGUGGUCCAAAAACUUUCGCAUAUACUGGAUUAAUAUGUUGAAAAAUAAUAUAAUCCUUUUAAUGUCAGUUGUUCUUUAACUAUGAUCAUCUUGACCUGUAUUUUCCUACAGUAAAAGAACUGUGAAUAGAGUAGAAUCAGCAAAUAACAAGAGAUCAAAUUAGAAAAUAAACAUUUUGGGCCUGCAAAAUAUUGUUCGGGCUUGCACAAUUAUUAUACUGGGAGGCCCGAAGGGCCUGUGCUUUACAAAGUUUUUCGUGAAGACUGGUAACAGGAUCAAGAAAUCAUGGUUUCGAGCCAUGCUUGUACUUUAUUUAGGGUGAAAAUGUAGAUAGUGAGGUGAAUGCUCCAUCAUCAUAUUUAGCAUUCAAAAGAGAAAGUUGCUGGUCUUUCAGAUGAGACCUUUAAACACCACAUGCAUGCGUCUAAAUGUGUGGCACUUCAUACUACUGAAAUAUUCUCUACAGGUAUUAUACUAAAAUCAAACAUACACAUACAUGUAUAUUCAUAUAUAUGUUAAAAAUCUUAAUUAUCAUUUUAGAAUUUUCUUCUUCUGACAAAAUGAUGCGCAAGUACAUAAAUGGAAGCUAUGCCACUAUAUGUCAUGACACUGUACAGCUUGAUCAGUUGAUACAUCACAUAAACAGUCACAGAUGUAAACAAUCAAGAAAAACUCAGUACACAACAUCACCCCUUAAUUUUGAAUUGUAGCUGAAGAUCAUUCUGCCAAGAUCGAAAUGCAGCUUGGCAAUGAUUAGCGAGGGUUAUAUUAUUCUUAAAAAGUAGAUUGAAAUCAAAAGUUAACUGCCAAAGUUAUCAGGAGACAAUAAUCCAUACAUGGUUCGAAUUUCCUCCACUGCCACCUAAAGUGCACGUGUAAACAACGCGAGUGACAUGCACCACACCCCGACAGGCUACAUUGUAAACAAGUAAAAUGCAUUCAGAGUAAUAGUUUUACAUAUGAUAUUCUGUUUGGUUUAUAGUCUUAGUAGCUACAUACCUAUGUGGUACACCUGUACCAUGUGCGUACUGCAAACAGUGCGGCGUAAUGUACAUUUGCAUCCUCGGGGAUUUCAACCCGGACAAAAUGGAACAUGCCAAUCCGAAUACAUAUAUAUCUUUCGUUUUUAUUUUUGCAUUUUAUUUAUUUAUCUAUUUAUGUCAUGGCGUUGGGAAAAAAACUUCAAAGUAGGGAGACAGAUGAAAAGGGGGAUACGGUCCAAUCAUCCAAAAAAAAGUCCCGUGUGGAGGGGUGGGGGUGGGGUUGAUUCCUAAGGACUUGGCGCAUAUCUAUUUGUUUUUAAAUGUGAAAUUCUAUCCAAAAUCAAUAUGAAUUUUUAGUAUACAGAGUACAUUAACUGCAAAGAUUAAAUUUUAGAAAAAACCCCAAACAGUUCACGUACUAGAUAUAUCACUUUCAUCAUCGGAAUUUUCAGUAACUCGGGUACUCUGUCGCUUGUACAUAACACGAUCGGUAUGAAACACCAUUUAAUCAGUCUAUCUAAUAAAAAACUCAUUGUUAAUAUGCAAAAUUUUUCUUUCAACCAUGUUUACUUACCUCAGAUGGGCCAACUUCUUUCCCUGGAAAACUCCAUUAUGAUGACAUCACAAAUUACGUCAUUCAAAACAGAGCAUGCGCACUUCGAAAGUGUGUAAGCCAUGCUCGCAAGGAAAAAAGAUGGACGAGUGCUAAAUCUUUACACACCUGUUACACACAUCUCAUAAAUCCUGUUAAGUAAACACUUCAGGAUUUUGAUGGUAGAUGAACUAUUUAAUGAUUUUAUGCUGAUUUUUAUAAAAAUCCAACUGAACACCACCAUUUUCGUGUUCCUUUGACCGACCCCGUGUUGAUUUACACGUGUGCCUUCUUAUUCACUGGUUCAAUUGACAGGGCUUACAAACACACACACACACACACACACACACACACACACACACACACACAGAUACACAUGCACGCAUCGAUUCACUCACAUGCUGCACGUACCACACACACACGCGUACAGAGAGAGAGAUAACACCAAUGGUUAGCUUUAGAUUUGUAUUUAACGUCAGCGAACACAAAACUUCUAGAUACCUCUGGAAGUCAAGCACAUUUGGUGAAUACCUAAACGACAGGCAAUACCACACUCCAAGUAUAUCCGUAAUGCAGAGGACGUUUGUUUCAAUAUAUUUAUUGUCAGUGUACCCCAGGCCAUGACAGUUUUGUUAGCUUUGCUGUGCAUUUAAUUUUUAUUCCUCUUUUCUACCAAUAAUCAACCAUCAAUUAUUUGGGACCCGCGAAGGCGCAGGUAAUUCUGGAUGGAGUGCAUUUAAUAGAAGUCUGGGCAUUACAUACUGUGGAAUAGUUUUAAUUCGUGUGGGACAAUGUUUGUGGGUAAGCAAAAUUUUGCUGGUUGGUGGCGACUUAAAUACGUGGGUAAGCGAUACGAUGACACUAGGAAAGAUAACUCUACUUGGUUUUAAAAUGUCCGAUGACACGUAAAUUCGCGGGUAAGAGUAAACAAUGAAAUCCACGGACAUCAACCCCCCACGAACAAUGAUGAUUCCACAGUAACUGGGCUGGUUUACGAAGUAUUUUCAUGCAGUAGAGUCGGAUCUGUUGACGCCAUAUAUAUAUAUAAAUAAUAAAUAAUAAAUGUGUUGAACUUAUGCAGAAGCGAUUUAUUCAAAAAAUACAUAUCACACAACUAUAUAUGCCAUACAAUAUACAUGUGACUAUUUAGAUAUGUAUAUGUGUAUAAAGACAAAGCAUGAUACUAUCAUAAUGUUUAUCGCUUAUAUUGUUACACAAUUUAUUGCUUGAAUAUUAACUUGGGGCAAUAUUAGAACAACCAGUCUCACGAAUAUCUUUCUGAAAGGUAACACAAAGAAUCAUAUUUUUUCUCUACAGAAAGACAUUCAUCACCCCACAAUAUUGUUUGAAUAUUAAUAAGACAUUUUUUAACAAUUGAUAAAUUUCCCAUCAUGGAACAUCUUGCAUCCGUUACAAUAGAUGUACUAUGUAAGUUAAGAUUCAUCCGCGCAUUGUUCACAACUGCAUAGCAUUCAUGAAAAUAUGGAUACCAUCAAAAUUAGUAAAGUCAUUAAAGGAACGUGCAAAAUGCCAAUGUUGUUGAAAUAUGUGACUGACAUGAUGACGUGACUCUAUUGAGAGAAAUACUGUCUGGGAUAGCAAAUCCCCCCCCCCCCCCCCCCCCCCCCCCCCCCAAUUUACAUCCGUUUUAUAUCUCUGCAGAAUUCGUGUUACGUUAGCUUAUCUGUUAACAAUGCAAAAUAGGCGCCUAUAUCAAAAUAUAUGUGGAUGUAUUAAAAUAAGAUGUCGUUAUGAUGAGUAUUUGUAUGUAUCAAAAUAAAAUGUCUUUAUGAUGAUUAUAAAUAAUAAUAAUAAAAUGAUAAUACCAUA